AUCUACCCGACCUUCACAGAGUGAGAAGCCCCAGCAGCUGUCGGGCUGAGGAAGCCAUCACAAGCUUGGGGACCUGGGGUGGGCACCCAUGGGAGAGGCUGUGGAGCUCUGUGCCCCCAGACCCUGCCCCUGUGAGCCCUCUCUGGGCACACACAGCAGCCUCCUGCUUUCUGUGAGUUCUUCUAGUGCACGUUUGGAUUUGAGCCCCUUGUUUAUCUGUUCCUGCCUAGAGUCCCAAGUUCUGCUGGGAGUCCACAGUAGGUUAACAGAGACAGUCCUUGAACAGGAAACUCCAGUGCCAACUCUCUGCCAGGGACAGGGACACAGCACACACCUGCUGCUGCCUGGGCCUCGCUGCCAUGGAGUCUGGUCUGUGGGAGCUCACAGGGAGCCCUGAGUGGUGUCAGCCCAGGGCUGAGCCCCCUUCUGUGAGUCUGGCUCAGCUCCUGCCUGGCCAAAGCUGGAGUCUGCUCAUGGUGACCUGUGCCCAGGCCCUGGGACGCCCUGUUCUCUCCCCACACAGCAGUCCUCCCCAGUCCCCGAAAAACGAUGAGAAAGAAUAACCAGGGUGCCUCUCACUUCCCCUGCCUGGCAGUGGCCCUGCUUCCGGGAAGAGCACCUUCAGUUUCACUUUCCUGUCCCUGCAGGGUCAGGGCCCUGAGCUCUGGGCUCCUCCCUUCCCUGCUGCUGCUCAGAUUCCUGCCUGAGGAGGGCAGAGCCUGGGGAGGUUUCAGUCCUCAGCUCCUCAGUCAAGGUGCAGUUUUCCUGUGUGCUGAGCCUGGCCCUGACCUGCACUGCCCAGGGAGGACAGGUGUGGACAGCAGGGCUUCACCACACCCCGCACAUUCAGAUCUUCUAGGGGACAUACAGAAGAGCUCCACUCUGACACCACAAACCUGUUUUCUCCAAGGACCUGAGUCUCAAGAAUUGCUAAAAAAAUCCCAAUGCUUACAAAAAAAAAAAAAAAAAGAAGACAGACAUCCUUCAUCAUAGAAAUUGCAAGGCUUUCAGAAAUUCUGUGCCUGGGAUCAGGUGACAGAUCACAGGUGCUAUUGAAGUGGCCUCACUGCCAUAGAGUCUGAUCUGUGACACUGCACAGGAAGGUGUGAGGGCCAUCAGACCAGGAGUUAGCUCAUGUCUGCACACAGUAGUUUGGAUUCUGCCUCAGCUGAGAGCUCUGAGGCUGAUUUUUCUGUCCCCAGCACACCAUGCCCUGGGGAAUAGUGCACUUCUCUCACUGUCACCCCAACAGCACAGUAAGUGGCCACGGUGCUCCUCAGUUUAACUACCUAGAAAUGGCUGUUUCUAGGAAGAACAAUCCAGAGCCCAGUUUCACUUCCCUGUUCCUGGAAUCACAGUGCCCUCCACUUUGAGCUCCUCCCAUGCCCAGGGUUGCCCAGAUCCCAGUCUGAGGAGGGCGGAGCCAGAACCCAUUUAAGUUCUCAGCUCCUCUCUCAAGGUGCUGACUGUCAGCACACUUUGCCUCCAUGCUGGCCACCUGAACCCCGUCCUGCCCUGCCCUGCCCUGCCCUACCCAAGGAGGACAGGCGUGGACAGAAGGUAUUUCCUUUCCCCACACAGUACAUUCGGCUCUUCUGGCUAAACUUUAGGAGCUCAACUCUGACACCAGAAACCUGUUUUCUGCAAGGACCUGGGUUUACCCUAGAGAAACCUGGACAUGUGCUGCAAGGGGAUAGAGGUAAAAAGAUCCACAGUAACCUUACUCAUAAUUAAGGGGGAAAAUUUUGAAAUGGAAGCCUAGCAUGGUGACACAGACCUGUAAUCCCAGCACAUGGGAGGCUGAGGCAGAAGGAUGAUUCCAAGUUGGAGUCCAGCCUGAGCUAUAUAACAAGUACAAAGCACGCCCGAGCUACAUAGCAAGGCCCUACCUCAACAAUCAGGAGACAAGUCCGACAUUUCAUGGAAGAGUGAACUGGUAAAUUGCAAUCUACAGUGAACCACUGUACACAGCACCAAUGAAUUACAGGCAUCGAAUUGAAUGAAUCCUCCAGCACACUGCUGAGUGAGAGGAAAGGCUCUGGCGCCACCUGAUGGGAACUGAUGUUAACGACGGCCUCCGGUCGGCACUGCCACUCCGCGCCUGCCCUGCAAGGUCCUGAGGUCACUGCAGAUGAAAGAGGGCUAAGGGCCGUGUCCCCCACAUGCCACAGGUGGACCGUGGCUCGAGCCGACCAGAUGCAGAUGUACUGCUUUAGGACAAUGGGAACAAAGAUGGGACGAGGACACCUCGGUGUGGUAACCAUGCUGCACUUCCGUGGGUUUCAGUUUAAAAUGACUGCAGAGGGAGCUGGGGACUUAGCUCAGUGGUGUAGCGCCUGCCUGGCAAGCACAAGGCCAAGAGUUCAACCCCCGGCACCAAAAACAAAAUAAAAAAUUAAAAAUAAAAUGACUACAGAACCUUGAUCACAACCAGGGUGGCUGUGGCAUAAAUCUUUUUAAAAGAUGGCACAAAUGUCUUGCCAGCCACUGACUCCCAGACCAUUUGUUUGUCUGUUUGCUAAUGGCAGCUCAAUCCCGGGCCUUGUACAAGUAAGACAAGUGCUCAACCAUGAGCUACUUCCCCAGCUCAUGUUCACAGUGUUGAGAAAGGUCUAGCACGUUCCAGCCACCCUCAGCACACCCUGCCUAGAUUGGCAUGGAAGAUGCUUCUCCUCAAGGGCAUACAUCCUUGCCCCCACCUCCCUGUACUAGGGAUUAAACCCAGGGUGCUCUACCACUAAGCUACAAACCCAGCCCUUUUAAAAACCCUGGUACCAAUAAAAAGUUUUUUUAAAAAAAAAUUUUUUUUUUUUUAUUUUGAGACAAGGUCUAAAUUGCUAAAUUACCGAGGCUGCCUGUCCAGGUUUGCCUGAGAUCCUCCUGUCUCAGGCUCUCAGAUUGUUGAGAUUACAGGCAUCACUGACUGGAUCCUUUUAUCUGGCUGCUACCCAAGACCCACUUCUCUCCACAAGUCCCUAAUAAAUAGCACUUGGUGUAAUCCUGGAGUUAUCAUCCUCUUUGGUCCUGCAGCACCUCUGCCUCUGGUAGUCAGGCUGGCACACUGGGUUUUUCCAAAUCAUCUAUCCUUCACAGAUACAGCCUAAAAUAUCUGUGGAUAAAACACUGGAAUGUUUUUCUUGUAGAAGCAGCCCAACUCAGUGCAGUGUCGCAUGAAAACCUGCUUUUACACCCUUGGGAAGAGAUGGAAAGGGAGUCACCAGGUGACUUGGCUGCCAAUGAGGACUUGGAUCAUGUGAGCCAGAGAAGGCAGCAAGACAGGAGGGGUAGAGAAGUGCAGGAUGAAGACCUGGCCUCCGAUGCGGAGGAAAGCAGUGGUGUGGACAAGUAUCAGGCGAGUCAGGCUGCUCCGGAUGGCCGUGUGCCACGCCUGAGCAGCCCAACGUUAGAACCCGGUCAGAAAAUGGCACGAGGCCCUCGCCAGGCGUGAACCCCGCUGGACGGAACACCAAGGCUGUGAUUCAGUGGGGGGCUGCUUUUAAAGGAUGGUACGUGACAAGGUGCUUCCAAAUGUGCUCACAGUGAAGUGCGUGCAUUGGUAGUAACGCUCGGAAAUGCACUCAUCGGUGCCGCUCAGUCUGCACUGAGGCUUCGCAGCAGGACUGUGCCUUUCUAACCGCAGAGUCUGGACGGUUUACAGAGAAGCAACGCAUGCAGCACUCAGAUUUUUAAAACAGUAACACACAAGAUGUUUGGUCUCUUUCAUACUUGCCUAUGUUUUAGUGACAAAAAGACCUGCCAAGAAAAAGCAAAGAAAAAAUCCGGAAAUUCGGCCGCUGUUCGCUGGUUUAUUGAAAGCUUUGUUUCCCGCUGUCCGGCAGUUUACGCACAGUCCCAGUACAUGACAGCUGACAAGCAACGUGCACCGUUUCAUGGUUGUUGAGGGUUUCGGCAACCUAUGCCAAAUAAACCUUCCAAAUACGAAUAAAAAUGCAUGCCCUGCUAGAUGCAAAGACAUGGUAUCCUUAGAAUUUAGAAGUGUAUCCUGGAGCUCAGACGCCAGGCCUCUCUUCAUGCAGUGGUAAACCCUACAAUGCACCGACUUGUUGCACCUGGUUCAGAAAGUAACCCGAAUGUCAAACUCAGCAGCUGCUCACUAGUUACCCACUGAUGGUACAUUUUCUAAAAAAAAAAAAAAAACACUCCAGCUGCCCAGCACAGGAACUGUUCUCAAGAGAAAGGCUGAGACUCCAGAAAAACUGUUGCAAGUUCACAAUAGACAAAUUUAUGGUUCAGUCUGGGGUUUUAGGACAUAACAUUGGCCUCCCACACAGCGAAGAAAAACAAAGUAGUAUUGGUACUGUCAGUUUACACCAUGAUAAGAUUGCUAGUGAUGCUGGGUGUGGUCCUACAAGUCUGUAAUCCCAGCACUCAAGAGGCUGAGGCAGGAGGAGCCUGUGAGUUCAAGGUCAGCCUGUCCUACUGAGUUCCGUGCUACCGGCAGUGCAUAGCAAGACCCUGUCUCUGAAGACCAGACCGUAACCAAAAAAGACUGAUGCUGAAUCCAACACAAAUGAAGCCAGAAAUGGUCACAUUUUACAACAAAAAGAAAGGCGGAAUAGAUGUCUUGGGCAAGUUAAGCAGCAACUGGGGGCUGGGGAUUUAGCUCAGCGGCAUAAGCACCUGCCUUGCAAGCAGGCGGUCAUGAGUUCGAUCCCUGGUACUGAUAAAAAAGAAAAAGACAAAAAAGAAAAAAAAAGUUAAGCAGCAACUGUGAUGUCACUCAAAACACAAAGCGUUGGCAAAAGGUUGUUUUACCCAACCCUGAACACGUCAGGCAUGAGCAGUUUCACGGUUUACAAAGAAAGUAACAAGCACAAAAUAUCACGGGGAAAUUCUCUUAGGGACUGGGACUGGAACUGAUAGAGGAUGAAUUAUAACAGAGGAAGAGCAACAUGUACCUGCCCAGACAACUCCACAAAGAAUUCCGGAGCGGACCGGUGAAAGCAGGGAGUCCAGCAAGGUGGCAGGAGUGUCCACCAAAGAAGACAGGGAACAGACUCCUGGGCGACUGGUGUAGGAGAAGUCACGUCGUUUGUGGAACGUGUGUUCUCACGGGUGAGGACGGCCCUAGCUGUGAGAACGGAGGCAAGGUUAUGUCCGUGCGGACUUUGUCUGUAUUGAGACUGUAGCUCACCUGGGAAUUUCUUUCUGCUGUUACUUUUUAGGUCUUGUAAGCAGAUAAGCGUUUGAUGUUGAAAAUGCUUAUUCUACACACUCAUCUCGUAUCAAAAUGUUAAUAUUUUAUUGAUUUUUCUUAAGUAUACAGUAAUGUAAUAAAACUUGUAAAAUUAAAAUUAAUAAUUAAUCAAUAGAAAUACUCCUAAAAAUAUAAACAUAGGCAUUUAACACCCUCCAUAAUGCACUUUGUGAAGAAUUUACAAUGGUGCUCCAGGGCACGGGAAGCAUCCUGUACUGAUGUAAGUACUGCCAGAAAUAAUGGAUCUGGCUCCAGCAUAUUCUUUGUUAUCAAAAUAUUUUAAGUAAACGUUUUAUAAGCUAAACUAAGAGAGAUAAGGUGAACAUGGGUGGCUCACGCCUCUAAUCCCAGUACUCUGGGAAACUGAGACAAGAGGAUUACAAAUUCAAGUCCAGCCCUGGAGACUUAGCAGCUUAGCAAGACCUUGCCUCAAAUUAAAAAUAAGCAAGGAUGGGGAAGGCACUCGUGUAAAGCUCCCAGGUUCAAUCCCCAGUACCAAAACAAAAAGAGGAAGGGUGAAUAUUUUAUAACUGAAUUGUAAAGCAAGUUUACAGCCAGGAAUGGUGACGCAUAUCACUGUCAUCCCAGCUCCUCAGGAAGCCGAGACACGAGGGUCGUUUGAGCCCAGGAGUGUAAAGCGUCAAGGGCAGGCCUGCUUGGACGUCACAGAGAGACCCUGCCUCCAAAAAUAACUUUGACUCCAUUCCUGAGUAACCAAAUGACACAGAGAAACUGAUUUCAACCCCACACAGGUGUCGGUUGUGGUCAGCACCCACAGUCCCCUCUGCUGAUGGGUCCUGGGGCCUUGCGCUGCCAUCCCUAUCCCCACUGCACCCCACACCGAGGCCAGGAGAGGUCCCAGCCCAGGCUUCCUUAGCCCAGUGCAGAGGCGGGGACGAGAAAGGGGCCAGAGGGCACCAGCCUCGCCCUGUGGCUGCCCCUCGGUGUUGAGCGUGCACUUGGCCUUUGCUUCCAUCCCGACACCAAAAGGCCAGGGAAAGUAGCCACGGGUGUAGCUGGAGGGUGCAGGGCUUCCCUAGCCAGCCUGGAGCCCCGAAUUCAAACCCUGCACCCAGCACUGCAUGUGCAAAACAAAACCAAAAAGCCUGGAGAGGAGCAGGCUCCUUUUGGCUUUAGAAAAGCUGCAAUUUGUGGUAAACAGGCCCUGACACGCUGCCUGGAUCGGGCGGGCGGCAGGUGGAGGAGGCCGGGGGCACCGCAGUGCUGCUUGCCGGGUACCUGCCUAUUAAAGGGUCGUCUUUCUGCUCAAAGACCAGGGAGCUUAAGCAAAUAACAGGCUGACUUAAAACUGCGGAGACAUGCGUCUCCUGUGACACACACAGCGUCUCAAAAACAAACCACCAAGCCCUUCUGCGCGAAGGUAGGGGACCGUGGGCAGCCGGCUGUGGCCUCAUAUGAGUCACAGCAGACCCCUCGCCCAGGGGAGCUGGUCCAAGAGUUCAGUGGAUCCCCACUGUCCAGAGCACCGAGCCCUGUAUGAUGACUUUCUGUGCCUGCCUGCCUAUGGUAAAGGGUCAUUUAUAAAUAAACCACAGUAAGAGGCCAACAAGAAUGAUACAACAGAGCCACACUGUAUGGAAAAGUUAUUUAAAACUCACAAUUUAUUUCUGGGGGCUUGUUCUUGACAUUCAUGGAAAUCAAAACCUCAGCAAAGAAAGGGCUUCCAUGGACUGGGCAGUUUAAAAGGCCCGGUGGACUGGGACCUGGGAUGUAGCUCAGCUGCUUGAGUUCCUGCCAGGUGAGCCCGAGAUCCUGAGUUCGAUUCCUGGUAUGAAAAUAAAAAGACCCGAGGGGUCCGACUCGGAGCACUUGGGUUUCACUCUGCACCCCGAAGCCUGCGCCCCCUCACCCCUGCUUCCCCCGUCCUGCCCUAGAGGGCACUGCUGACCCUUCGGGGCUCCGGGCCAGCAGCGUGGGGACCUCUGCAGAGAUGGCUCCUCCUUGGGCCUGACACCCAGCCCGGGGGCAGAACCUGGCCCGAGGGUGCCCCGGCCCGCAGCCCACGCACAGCUCACGCACGGCCUAAACUGAGGCCACUCCCGCCACCUCUGGGAUUGCCCUGCACUGGUCACGGCCUGCUCAGGCCCAGCCUAGUCUCCCCAUGUCCCUGCCGAGCAUUUCACUGCUCUCUGUGUCUAUUUGGGGUCCCAGAACGCAGCGUCCCUCACCCUGUGGCUCUGCCCCACAGGGCACAGUGUCCCCUACGCGCGAUUCCCUCCACGUGGAGCCCAGGGCUGCGGCAUUGAGCAGCGGCUGCAGGCAGUGGACAGAGGACCAGACAGCAGGCGGCACCCACUGCAGCACACAGGAGACCAAUGACACAUGGUCCGUAUGGCCGGCCCUGCUCAUUUUCUAAGUGGAAACGUGAUUUUGGAUUUAGACAUGAAGUGCUUUGGUUUCCUAAGUCAGUAACUAACUUAAAGAAUAAUUGUGCAUUAUAUUGGAGUCUGCGCUGCAGGCAGCACUAGGCCGCCUAGGAGUGGCUGUGACCCUCCGGGGUAUGGCUCAGCUGAGAUGUCAGCUCUUGCCUGGGAAGAGCUAACCUUCUCCACAGCUG